UACGGAGGGUGCGAGCGUUGUCCGGAUUUAUUGGGCGUAAAGAGCUCGUAGGCGGUUCCGUAAGUCGGAUGUGAAAACUCGGGGCUCAACCCCGAGACGCCAUCCGAUACUGCGGUGACUUGAGUCUGGUAGGGGAACACGGAAUUCCUGGUGUAGCGGUGAAAUGCGCAGAUAUCAGGAGGAACACCAGCGGCAAAGGCGGCUUUCUGGUCCGAUUCUGACGCUGAGGCGCGAAAGCGUGGGGAGCGAUCCGG
rnacentral:rRNA from 1 species